UACGGAGGGUGCAAACGUUGCUCGGAAUCAUUGGGCGUAAAGCGCACGUAGGCGGCCCAGCAAGUCGGGUGUGAAAGCCCUCGGCUUAACCGAGGAAGUGCAUUCGAAACUACUGAGCUUGAAUACUGGAGAGGAUCGCGGAAUUCCCGGUGUAGAGGUGAAAUUCGUAGAUAUCGGGAGGAACACCAGUGGCGAAGGCGGCGAUCUGGACAGCACUUGACGCUGAGACGCGAAAGCGUGGGGAGCAAACAGG
rnacentral:rRNA from 1 species